AGAAGUUUAGUUUAAUGGUUUAAGCAUUGGGCUAUGACUCCGGAGACCAGGGUUCAAAUUCCUGCUCAUCCA